rnacentral:rRNA from 1 species
GAUCCUGGCUCAGGAUGAACGCUAGCGGCAGGCUUAACACAUGCAAGUCGAGGGGCAGCAUAAUGGAUAGCAAUAUCUAUGGUGGCGACCGGCGCACGGGUGCGUAACGCGUAUGCAACCUACCUUUAACAGGGGGAUAACACUGAGAAAUUGGUACUAAUACCCCAUAAUAUCAUAGAAGGCAUCUUUUAUGGUUGAAAAUUCCGAUGGUUAGAGAUGGGCAUGUGUNUAU